UCGAACCAUUAAGCCACUCGGUGGUUAAGUGUGACCCGAAAGGGCUCGCAAGUGCCGGAUUCUGGCGCGACACUGUCAAAUUGCGGGGACUCCCUAAAGCUCCAUGGGACCGCCCGCUCCACGAAAGUGGAGUUUUUUUAAGGGCACCAGGUUAACGACCUCGGGUACGGUAACACUCCUGGAGAUGCAACAAUGGGUAAUCUGCAGCCAAGUCCUACGGGCGAUCGCCUACGGAUGCAGUUCACAGACUAGAUGGCAGUGGGCUCCCCCCUUCUCGCGGGAGCUUAAGAUAUAGUCGGUCCUCUGGGGAGACCCAGGC
rnacentral:ncRNA from 1 species